rnacentral:lncRNA from 1 species
GAGCAGAUGGAGAGCAGCCAGCACGCGCUUCCUCCUGGUGGGGCUCAGACAGGGCUUGGCACCAGGGCUGUCGGGCAAGCGGGAGGAAGAGCUGCGGCUCCGGGGUGCGGUGCUGCCGCGCAGAGUGGACCGGUGAUCCUACGGCACCGUGGGCUUGUACGCACAGGGAAAUGGAGGCACUCCCAGAGGAGCUGAGUGUCAGGCCUGGCACAGGUUGGAGAAGAGCUAGGCAUUCUCCUGGUAAAACCGUAGGAAAGAUGGCUGCGAAGCAGGAGAGAUGCAAACUCUCUCUGGGUAGAAAUGUCAGCAGCAUUUGGUUUUCCUCAAGUAACGGAACGCAAACGUCUGCUUCCUGUUGAGUCCUGCUGCCUUUGCCGAAGAGAAUUCUUUUUGGUGCUGUGGCUUUAGAACACCUGGAUAAAGCCCUGGAAGUUGUUCUCCAGCACAGAACACGCCGUCUCGGGGUUCAGACAUCUUCCCAUACGGGUCGUGGACGCUCUUGUGGGUGUCUGUUUCCUGACCCCGAGGUCGGCAGUGGCU